rnacentral:rRNA from 1 species
GGGUGACAUACCCUUCAGAUGGGGAUAGCUAUUAGAAAUAGUAGAUAAUACCGAAUACGAGCACAGGGGUUAGAGAUCUGUAGAGGAAAGGAGCUAAGGCUCCGCUGAAGGAAUGGCCUGCGGCCCAUUAGCUAGUGGUGAGGUAAGAGCCCACCAAGGCGAUGAUGGGUAUCCGGCCUUAGAGGGUGAACGGACACAUUGGGACUGAGAUACGGCCCAGACUCCUACGGGGAGGCAGCAGCUAAGAAUAUUCCGCAAUGGACGAAAGUCUGACGGAGCGACGCCGCCGUGGAUGAAGAAGGCCGGAAGGUUGUAAAAUCCUUUUGAAACUGAAGAAUAAGCGUUGUAGGGAAUGACAGCGUGGUGACAGUAGGUUUUGAAUAAGCAACGGCUAAUUACGUGCCAGCCGCGGC